CGUCGAUCGUGCCGCUUGUGUUGCAGCAGCUGAACGUGUGGGAAAUGCUGUUCGUUAGCAUCUGAGAGAUACAUCUUUUGCACGGUCUAAAAAUAAACGGCGAAACUGAAAAAGGGGGACAAAAACAAACGCGCGCGCCAAUUGCAAAACAUAGGGUCGGACCCCUAAAAAACCAAAACGUACAAAUUUUAUAAAUAUCAAGUUGAAAAUGUGAAUAUAAAUGGGAAAUGGGAAAAUGCCUAUGUGAAAAUGCAAAAGUGGAAACUUAUUUAUGCAAUCGAUUUGUGUAUCCAAAAAUGCUGUAUUUAUUUAUCGGCGCGACAGCGAAAUAAAUAUAUAGUGUGCAUAUAGUAUAUAUUCGGUCGAUCAAACGUAUCCACGAUUCAGAUCAAAGUGGCCCGCAAACAUAAUAAGCAAAUCAUGCGGAAAGCCCAUUCCGUAAAUUGAAAACUGAAUGAAAGUUUGCCAUGCAGCAGCAAUGCAAGAGCCCAAGUACAGUAAACACUCGACAGGAAACAUGUUAAAAAUGUACAAGUAAAUAAAGUGAGAGAACUAUUCGAGGCAUCUGGCAAAUCCAUGUAAAUAAAAAUAAAAGGCAAGCAAAAAAUAUAAGAAGAUUGCGAAAAUAGAGGAAAAUGUGGCGAUUUGGGCAGAGCAUAAAACGCAAUUAACGCAACAAAGAAAGAGACAAAUACAAAAGACAAACGUAAUGUGAAAACUUGAGCUUGAGCUAAAAUUGAAAUUAAAAUUGAAAAUAAAAA